CUCUCUCUCAGCUUGCCUGAGCCUUCUUCCAAAAAGGCAGAAGGAAGAGGAAAUUGAUGAAAUUCGACACCAAAUCGCAAAUGGUUCUCUUCACUAUUUAUUUGUUUUUCGUCAUACGUGAUUAACUAUUACUACUA
ensembl:ncRNA C11G10.3 ncRNA